rnacentral:rRNA from 1 species
ACGGGAGGCAGCAGUGGGGAAUAUUGGACAAUGGGGGAAACCCUGAUCCAGCGACGCCGCGUGAGUGAAGAAGUAUUUCGGUAUGUAAAGCUCUAUCAGCAAGGAAGAAAAUGACGGUACUUGACUAAGAAGCCCCGGCUAACUACGUGCCAGCAGCCGCGGUAGUACGUAGGGGGCAAGCGUUAUCCGGAUUUACUGGGUGUAAAGGGAGCGUAGACGGUCAAUUAAGUCUGAAGUGAAAGCCCGGGGCUCAACCGCGGGAUUGCUUUGGAAACUGGAUGACUAGAGUGCAGGAGAGGUAAGUGGAAUUCCUAGUGUAGCGGUGAAAUGCGUAGAUAUUAGGAGGAACACCAGUGGCGAAGGCGGCUUACUGGACUGUAACUGACGUUGAGGCUCGAAAGCGUGGGGAGCAAACAGGAUUAGAUACCCUGGUA